rnacentral:rRNA from 1 species
GUGUUACUGCGAAGGGGGGACGGAGAAGGCUAUGUUGGCCGGGCGACGGUUGUCCCGGUUUAAGCGUGUAGGCUGGUUUUCCAGGCAAAUCCGGAAAAUCAAGGCUGAGGCGUGAUGACGAGGCACUACGGUGCUGAAGCAACAAAUGCCCUGCUUCCAGGAAAAGCCUCUAAGCAUCAGGUAACAUCAAAUCGUACCCCAAACCGACACAGGUGGUCAGGUAGAGAAUACCAAGGCGCUUGAGAGAACUCGGGUGAAGGAACUAGGCAAAAUGGUGCCGUAACUUCGGGAGAAGGCACGCUGAUAUGUAGGUGAAGUCCCUCGCGGAUGGAGCUGAAAUCAGUCGAAGAUACCAGCUGGCUGCAACUGUUUAUUAAAAACACAGCACUGUGCAAACACGAAAGUGGACGUAUACGGUGUGACGCCUGCCCGGUGCCGGAAGGUUAAUUGAUGGGGUCAGCGCAAGCGAAGCUCUUGAUCGAAGCCCCGGUAAACGGCGGCCGUAACUAUAACGGUCCUAAGGUAGCGAAAUUCCUUGUCGGGUAAGUUCCGACCUGCACGAAUGGCGUAAUGAUGGCCAGGCUGUCUCCACCCGAGACUCAGUGAAAUUGAACUCGCUGUGAAGAUGCAGUGUACCCGCGGCAAGACGGAAAGACCCCGUGAACCUUUACUAUAGCUUGACACUGAACAUUGAGCCUUGAUGUGUAGGAUAGGUGGGAGGCUUUGAAGUGUGGACGCCAGUCUGCAUGGAGCCGACCUUGAAAUACCACCCUUUAAUGUUUGAUGUUCUAACGUGGACCCGUGAUCCGGGUUGCGGACAGUGUCUGGUGGGUAGUUUGACUGGGGCGGUCUCCUCCUAAAGAGUAACGGAGGAGCACGAAGGUUGGCUAAUCCUGGUCGGACAUCAGGAGGUUAGUGCAAUGGCAUAAGCCAGCUUGACUGCGAGCGUGACGGCGCGAGCAGGUGCGAAAGCAGGUCAUAGUGAUCCGGUGGUUCUGAAUGGAAGGGCCAUCGCUCAACGGAUAAAAGGUACUCCGGGGAUAACAGGCUGAUACCGCCCAAGAGUUCAUAUCGACGGCGGUGUUUGGCACCUCGAUGUCGGCUCAUCACAUCCUGGGGCUGAAGUAGGUCCCAAGGGUAUGGCUGUUCGCCAUUUAAAGUGGUACGCGAGCUGGGUUUAGAACGUCGUGAGACAGUUCGGUCCCUAUCUGCCGUGGGCGCUGGAGAACUGAGGGGGGCUGCUCCUAGUACGAGAGGACCGGAGUGGACGCAUCACUGGUGUUCGGGUUGUCAUGCCAAUGGCACUGCCCGGUAGCUAAAUGCGGAAGAGAUAAGUGCUGAAAGCAUCUAAGCACGAAACUUGCCCCGAGAUGAGUUCUCCCUGACCCUUUAAGGGUCCUGAAGGAACGUUGAAGACGACGACGUUGAUAGGCCGGGUGUGUAAGCGCAGCGAUGCGUUGAGCUAACCGGUACUAAUGAACCGUGAGGCUUAACC